rnacentral:rRNA from 1 species
GAUGAACGCUAGCGGGAGGCCUAACACAUGCAAGCCGAGCGGUAUUGUUUCUUCGGAAAUGAGAGAGCGGCGUACGGGUGCGGAACACGUGUGCAACCUGCCUUUAUCUGGGGGAUAGCUUUUCGAAAGGAAGAUUAAUACUCCAUAACAUAUUGAACGGCAUCGUUUAAUAUUGAAAGCUCCGGCGUACAGAGAUGGGCACGCGCAAGAUUAGCUAGUUGGUGAGGUAACGGCUCACCAAGGCGAUGAUCUUUAGGGGGCCUGAGAGGGUGAUCCCCCACACUGGUACUGAGACACGGACCAGACUCCUACGGGAGGCAGCAGUGAGGAAUAUUGGUCAAUGGGUGCAAGCCUGAACCAGCCAUCCCGCGUGAAGGACGACUGCCCUAUGGGUUGUAAACUACUUUUGUAUAGGGAUAAACCUACCCUCGUGAGGGUAGCUGAAGGUACUAUACGAACAAGCACCGGCUAACUCCGUGCCAGCCGCCGCAGUAA